AGGGCCAUAUCAAAUUGAAACGCUGGUUUUCAUACGCUCACCGAAGUUAAGCAACAUCGAGCCUGGUCAGUACCAAGAUCUGUGACCACUUGGUAAUAUCAGGUGCUGGAAG